AUUGGAGGUAGAGCACUGUUUGGACGAGGGGCCCCUCUCGGGUUACCGAAUUCAGACAAACUCCGAAUGCCAAUUAAUUUAACUUGGGAGUCAGAACAUGGGGGAUAAGGUCCGUGUUCGAAAGGGAAACAGCCCAGACCACCAGCUAAGGUCCCAAAAUAUAUGUUAAGUGGAAAAGGAUGUGGCGUUGCCCAGACAACUAGGAUGUUG
rnacentral:rRNA from 1 species